UUGUUUUACAGUUCCCAUUAAAGUUCAAUUUGUCGUUCCCUUAAUCCCGCGCAAAGCUCUACAGUCUUGUUGAUUUUUUUUCUCUCGGGUGUCUCCAUAAGCCUCCAAUGACUCUUAAACGUUUUUAAGCGUUUUAUUGCGUGUUCGACAUUUACCCGACACUCUAGAUCUGGUAUACAUUUUCGUCUUUCUGCUCGUGGUUUAGCACUUAGUUGAUGGCGUCUGUAGGAGGUAACAAAGGUUGAUCGACAUGGAUAAAUUUUAUCCGCUAAUAUGACAAAAUUCUUGGGGAACUCAAAACCUGGCCCAAUGAAAGGCAAUAGAUUACACGAUUGGACAUCGUUUAUUGGUGUCCUAGGAAACCACUUUGAAUAAAUCUUAUAUGAUUUCUGUUGUCCAC
rnacentral:lncRNA from 1 species